rnacentral:rRNA from 1 species
CCUACGGGUGGCAGCAGUGAGGAAUAUUGGUCAAUGGCCGGGAGGCUGAACCAGCCAAGUCGCGUGAGGGAAGACGGCCCUACGGGUUGUAAACCUCUUUUGUCAGGGAGCAAGGUUCAGGUCGGGACCUGCUGUGAGAGUACCUGAAGAAAAAGCAUCGGCUAACUCCGUGCCAGCAGCCGCGGUAAUACGGGGGAUGCGGGCGUUAUCCGGAUUUAUUGGGUUUAAAGGGUGCGCAGGGGGAGGAAAAAGUCAGCGGGAAAAUCGCGGGGCUCAACCCCGCAUCGCCGUUGAAACUGUGUGCCUUGAGUGCAGGAGGGGGAGGCGGAAUGCGUGGUGUAGCGGUGAAAUGCAUAGAUAUCACGAAGAACUCCGAUCGCGAAGGCAGCUUACCGGAGCGCAACUGACGCUCAUGCACGAAAGCGUGGGUAUCGAACAGGAUUAGAUACCCUAGUAGUC